ensembl:ncRNA Y43E12A.7 ncRNA
CUCGUUCACCUUUUCCUCCCGUACUACACACAAGGACCCUCGAUGAGGUGGCAAUGACCGGCAAGAGGAAAGGUGGAAACAUUAACAAAAGUUUUUGAGAAUCGCCAAAAAAUAUUAAGGCAGGCGGAAAAAA